UACGAAGGGGGCUAGCGUUGUUCGGAUUUACUGGGCGUAAAGCGCGUGUAGGCGGAUUGAUAAGUUGGGGGUGAAAGCCCAGAGCUCAACUCUGGAACUGCCUUCAAGACUGUCAGUCUGGACUCAAGGAGAGGCGAGUGGAAUUGCGAGUGUAGAGGUGAAAUUCGUAGAUAUUCGCAGGAACACCAGUGGCGAAGGCGACUCGCUGGACUUGUAGUGACGCUGAGACGCGAAAGCGUGGGGAGCAAACAGG
rnacentral:rRNA from 1 species